rnacentral:misc_RNA from 1 species
GCAAACUUGGUCAUUUAGAGGAAGUAAAAGUCGUAACAAGGUCUCCGUAGGUGAACCUGCGGAGGGAUCAUUAAAGAGUUAGGGCCCCCAGGCCCGAACCUCCAACCCUUUGUUUAACAAACCUCGUUGCCUCGGGGGUGGCCCUGCCAGGCGCGGGCCCCCCCGGAGGACCACUCCAACUCUGCAUAUCUGUAUGACGUCUGAGUGAUUUUAUAAAUAAGUCAAAACUUUCAACAACGGAUCUCUUGGUUCUGGCAUCGAUGAAGAACGCAGC